rnacentral:rRNA from 1 species
UACGGAGGAUCCAAGCGUUAUCCGGAUUUAUUGGGUUUAAAGGGUGCGUAGGUGGCUUUUUAAGUCAGGGGUGAAAGACGGUAGCUUAACUAUCGCAGUGCCUUUGAUACUGAAGAGCUUGAAUGAACUAGAGGUAGGCGGAAUGUGACAAGUAGCGGUGAAAUGCAUAGAUAUGUACAGAACACCAAUUGCGAAGGCAGCUUCUAAUGUUUAUUGACACUGAGGCACGAAAGCGUGGGGGAUCAAAACAGG